GACGAACGCUGGCGGCGUGCUUAACACAUGCAAGUCGAACGGAAAGGCCAGUGCUUGCACUGGUACUCGAGUGGCGAACGGGUGAGUAACACGUGGGUGAUCUGCCUUGGACUCUGGGAUAAGCUUGGGAAACUGGGUCUAAUACCGGAUAUGAACUGCCGUUAGUGUGGUGGUGGGAAAGUUUUUUCGGUGCAAGAUGGGCUCGCGGCCUAUCAGCUUGUUGGUGGGGUAAUGGCCUACCAAGGCGUCGACGGGUAGCCGGCCUGAGAGGGUGUACGGCCACAUUGGGACUGAGAUACGGCCCAGACUCCUACGGGAGGCAGCAGUGGGGAAUAUUGCACAAUGGGCGGAAGCCUGAUGCAGCGACGCCGCGUGGGGGAUGACGGCCUUCGGGUUGUAAACUGCUUUCGACAGGGACGAAGCGUAAGUGACGGUACCUGUAUAAGAAGCACCGGCUAACUACGUG
rnacentral:rRNA from 1 species